CCUACGGGUGGCAGCAGUGAGGAAUAUUGGUCAAUGGGCGCUAGUCUGAACCAGCCAAGUAGCGUGAAGGAUGACUGCCCUAUGGGUUGUAAACUUCUUUUAUAUGGGAAUAAAGUGUUCCACGUAUACGGUUUUGUAUGUACCUUAUGAAUAAGGAUCGGCUAACUCCGUGCCAGCAGCCGCGGUAAUACAGAGGAUCCGAGCGUUAUCCGGAUUUAUUGGGUUUAAAGGGAGCGUAGGUGGGUUGUUAAGUCAGUUGUGAAAGUUUGCGGCUCAACCGUAAAAUUGCAGUUGAAACUGGCAGUCUUGAGUACAGUAGAGGUGGGCGGAAUUCGUGGUGUAGCGGUGAAAUGCUUAGAUAUCACGAAGAACUCCGAUUGCGAAGGCAGCCCACUGGACUGUAACUGACACUGAGGCUCGAAAGUGUGGGUAUCAAACAGGAUUAGAUACCCUGGUAGUC
rnacentral:rRNA from 1 species